AUGAAAUGUAAUUCCGACAAUUUUGAUGCACCAAAUCCCAUUACAACUCUUGAGUUAAUCAUGUUUGGGAUAGAGAAGAACUAGAAUGGGUGACCUCUAGGGAAGUCCUACUAUAUUACAUU
rfam:Picea glauca, whole genome shotgun sequence.